UGGUAUUCGUCGGAAGCAGGAGACGGCGUGUUUUUGUUCUGCCUAGCGCGGUGGUAGUCAUCUUCAUCCUCGUCGUUGGAUCUGCAAGGGGAUCUCGCCCGUUCUUCAGGCGGCGGUGAGUGUGAGGUGUUUGUUUUCAUCGGGAUGAGUUCGAUUAGAAGGGGUGCUGGUUGUGCAAAUGGAGUUGAUGCUGCUGCCGUUGCUUUGGGCAAGGUGUCACUAGUUAAUGGCGAAGGCAGUGAUGAGGAUGCAGGUGAGGGGGGUGGUAUGGUUGAUAGCAAGGCAAAUGCGAGCGGAAUAAAUGAGU